UGGUCUAGCACUCUGCGCGCUAAUCAGUGACCGGGGCUGUGAAAUGUAUAAAACCAAGUCAGGUACCUGAAGUAGCGCGCGAAGUCUUAGGCC
rnacentral:pre_miRNA from 1 species